rnacentral:rRNA from 1 species
UACGUAGGGUCCGAGCGUUGUCCGGAGUUAUUGGGCGUAAAGGGCUCGUAGGCGGUUAGUCACGUCGGGAGUGAAAACUCAGGGCUCAACCCUGAGCGUGCUUCCGAUACGGGCUGACUAGAGGUAUGCAGGGGAGAACGGAAUUCCUGGUGUAGCGGUGGAAUGCGCAGAUAUCAGGAGGAACACCGGUGGCGAGGGCAGGUCUCUGGGCAUUAACUGACGCUGAGGAGCGAAAGCAUGGGGAGCGAACAGG